UUUGCAACUAUAGCGAACUCC
rnacentral:piRNA from 1 species